rnacentral:rRNA from 1 species
AUACCCGGGUAGUCCCAGCCGUAAACGAUGCGCGUUAGGUGUGUCGAUGACCACGAGUCAUCGAGGUGCCGAAGAGAAAUCGUGAAACGUGCCGCCUGGGAAGUACGGUCGCAAGGCUGAAACUUAAAGGAAUUGGCGGGGGAGCACCACAACAGGUGGAGCCUGCGGUUUAAUCGGACUCAACGCCGGAAAUCUCACCGGAUAAGACAGCUGUAUGAUAGUCGGGCUGAAGACUCUACUUGACUAGCUGAGAGGAGGUGCAUGGCCGUCGUCAGUUCGUACUGUGAAGCAUCCUGUUAAGUCAGGCAACGAGCGAGACCCACGCCAACAGUUGCCAGCUCGUCCUCCGGGAUGGUGGGGACACUGUUGGGACCGCCUCUGCUAAAGAGGAGGAAGGAAUGGGCAACGGUAGGUCAGCAUGCCCCGAAUUAUCCGGGCUACACGCGAGCUGCAAUGGCAGGUACAAUGGGUUCCGACCUCGAAAGGGGAAGGCAAUCUCGAAAGCCUGCCGUAGUUGGGAUCGAGGGCUGCAACCCGCCCUCGUGAACAUGGAAUCCCUAGUAAUCGC